rnacentral:rRNA from 1 species
GGGGCUAGCGUUGCUCGGAAUCACUGGUGCGUAAAGGGCGCGUAGGCGGCCGAUUAAGUCGGGGGUGAAAGCCUGUGGCUCAACCACAGAAUUGCCUUCGAUACCGGUUGGCUUGAGACCGGAAGAGGACAGCGGAACUGCGAGUGUAGAGGUGAAAUUCGUAGAUAUUCGCAAGAACACCGGUGGCGAAGGCGGGUCUCUGGGCAGUAACUGACGCUGAGAAGCGAAAGCGUGGGGAGCGAACAGGAUUAGAUACCCUGGUAGUCCACGCCGUAAACGGUGGGUACUAGGUGUGGGUUUCCUUCCUUGGGAUCCGUGCCGUAGCUAACGCAUUAAGUACCCCGCCUGGGGAGUACGGCCGCGAGGCUAAAACUCAAAGGAAUUGACGGGGGCCCGCACAAGCGGCGGAGCAUGUGGAUUAAUUCGAUGCAACGCGAAGAACCUUACCUGGUUUGACAUGCACAGGACGCGUCUAGAGAUAGGCGUUCCCUUGUGGCCUGUGUGCAGGUGGUGCAUGGCUGUCGUCAGCUCGUGUCGUGAGAUGUUGGGUUAAGUCCCGCAACGAGCGCAACCCUUGUCUCAUGUUGCCAGCGGGUAAUGCCGGGGACUCGUGAGAGACUGCCGGGGUCAACUCGGAGGAAGGUGGGGAUGACGUCAAGUCAUCAUGCCCCUUAUGUCCAGGGCUUCACACAUGCUACAAUGGCCGGUACAAAGGGCUGCGAUGCCGUAAGGUUAAGCGAAUCCUUUUAAAGCCGGUCUCAGUUCGGAUUGGGGUCUGCAACUCGACCCCAUGAAGUCGGAGUC